rnacentral:rRNA from 1 species
AUUGGCUUAGUAGUUAGUUAUCUUUAUUGGGUUUAAAGGGUAAGUAGACGGUAAAUUAAACUCUAAACGAGUACUUUUUUACUAGAGUUAUAUGAGAGAAGGAAGAAUUUCUGGAGUAGAGAUAAAAUUUGAUGAUACCAGGAGGACUGUCAACGGCGAAGGCGUCCUUCUAUGUAAUAACUGACGUUGAGAGACGAAGGCUUGGGUAGCAAACAGGAUUAGAUACCCUAAUAGUCCAAGCAGACAAUGAUGAAUGUCAUACAUUAGAUAUAUAUAUUUAAUGUAUAAACGAAAGUGUAAGCAUUCCACCUCAAGAGUACUAUGGCAA